rnacentral:rRNA from 1 species
GUUCUGGUUGUAAAGCCCUUUACUUAAACAGAGAUUAUGACAAAACUUAAGAAAAAAGUCCCGGCCAAUUUCGUGCCAGCAGCCGCGGUAAUACGAGAGGGGCAAGCGUUAUUCGGAAUGAUUGGGCGUAAAGCGCACGUAGACUGUGAUGAAAAUCUGAGAGAAAAACUUCAAAGCUUCACUUUGACAUUGCUCUUAUUUGUGACUUUUUUAUUCACUUUGAUUACUUCACUAGAGUGAGGAAGAGGAGAAUGGAAUUUCUGGUGUAGAGGUAAAAUUUGUUGAUAUCAGAAGGAACACCAAAAGCGAAAGCAAUUCUCUGGGACUCCACUGACGUUGAGGUGCGAAGGCGUGGGGAUCAAAGGGGAUUAGAUACCCCCGUAGUCCACGCAGUCAACUAUGACCUUUCUAGGGCUACUCAAGACCUCGUUUGAACUCUCUUGGUUUCAAGGCUUUCUGAGGGGUUGAAUGGCUCUAUUAGCUAACGCGUUAAAUGGUCCGCCUGAGGAGUACGGUCGCAAGACUCAAACUCAAAGGAAUAGACGGGGGCUCAAACAAGUGGUGGAACAUGUGGUUUAAUUCGAAAACGCGCAAAACCUUACCAGUCCUUGACAUACUCUUUUCACUCUCUCUUAGUACUUAGAGAGAAUUCUGUCAAUCAGUUGAUUUGAUGUGAAGAGUACAGGUGUUGCAUGGCUGUCGUCAGUUCGUGUUGUGAAAUGUUGGAUUAAUUUCCUUAACGAACGAAACCCCUUUUUUCAUUCAAAAUCACAUCAGUUUGAUGACUUUUUUUAAUGGAAUGACAGCUAGUGAUAGACUAGAGGAAGGGAGGGAUCACGUCAAGUCCUCAUGACCCUUAUGGGCUGGGCUACACACGUGUUACAAUGGUGACUACAAAGAGAAGCAAGAAUGAGAGUUGGAGCAAAACUCAAAAAAGUCACCUUAGUUCUGAUUGUUCUCUGCAACUCGAGAACAUGAAGCCGGAAUCACUAGUAAUCGUGAAUCAGCACGUCACGGUGAAUAUGUACCUGAGCCUUGUACUCCCCGCCCGUCACACACUGUGAAUUUAGAGUCUAGGAAGUCUUGUAUUAGAGGAUAUCCACAAUUGAUCUUCGGUUUCUUUAUUGAAAAUACAAGAGAAGAACUUAGGUGGUAGUAUUACUGCCUUUUCAUGUGGGAUU